GGCAGCCAAACCACCAAGUCAUCGAAAUGGAAACCCCAAUAGGCCAAACGGAAGUAACGACAGACCAAGCGGGUGGACAGAUAGACCUCCUCAGAACAACCAAGCGGGGACAUCUUGAGGACCUUACCCUAAAAGGAACCACCCGACGACACCGUUACAAUGCCUGUUGUGUAGAGGCCCCCAC